rnacentral:lncRNA from 1 species
AGAGGUUUAUCAAUUUAUUCUGGAAGCAUUAUUUGGCUUUCUUACCUUUCAAUGUUGACACAAACUAAUGAACUUCUAUCUGAGCAUUAAUAGAAUUCGAGAUACCCGCAGAAUACUUGUGCUCACAAUUGUAUAUAACUACAUUUUUUAUAUGUUCUAGAUGCCAAUAUAUGGCAAGAAGCAAGUCUAUUGUUCUCUUGGCAAGCAAAAGAUGAUGUAAUUUUGCUUUAAUUUUGAAGGGUGUGUUUAAAAUCUUCUUUCGUCGGUUGAAAGGUGUGUCCAUCAGAGUGUAAAAUGUUUAACUACAGUUGCUCUUUGUAAUUUGUCUGUGCAACUAAUCAGCUUUCACGUUUGCAUAAAAUUGUGAAAUUGGGUAAAUCUGUACGCAAAUGUUCCUUUCUAUUUAAUGUAGGAGUUGGAAACAGUGGAAUGACGCAUUACUUUGUAUACUUAUUUUUUGGCUGAUAAAAAAGAUUUAACUCCUCUAUCUCAAUGAAACUGUUCUCGCUUAGCUUAAAGUGAAUUAAGUUAAAGGCGCUUAUCAUAACUUUA